rnacentral:rRNA from 1 species
ACCAUCCUCCAAGGCUAAAUACUCCUGACUGACCGAUAGUGAACCAGUACCGUGAGGGAAAGGCGAAAAGAACCCCGGCGAGGGGAGUGAAAAAGAACCUGAAACCGUGUACGUACAAGCAGUGGGAGCACAGGUUUACCUGUGUGACUGCGUACCUUUUGUAUAAUGGGUCAGCGACUUAUAUUCUGUAGCAAGGUUAACCGAAUAGGGGAGCCGGAGGGAAACCGAGUCUUAAUUGGGCGUUAAGUUGCAGGGUAUAGACCCGAAACCCGGUGAUCUAGCCAUGGGCAGGUUGAAGGUUGGGUAACACUAACUGGAGGACCGAACCGACUAAUGUUGAAAAAUUAGCGGAUGACCUGUGGCUGGGGGUGAAAGGCCAAUCAAACCGGGAGAUAGCUGGUUCUCCCCGAAAGCUAUUUAGGUAGCGCCUCGUGAACUCAUCUCCGGGGGUAGAGCACUGUUUCGGCUAGGGGGCCAUCCCGGCUUACCAACCCGAUGCAAACUGCGAAUACCGGAGAAUGUUAUCACGGGAGACACACGGCGGGUGCUAACGUCCGUCGUGAAGAGGGAAACAACCCAGACCGCCAGCUAAGGUCCCAAAGUCAUGGUUAAGUGGGAAACGAUGUGGGAAGGCCCAGACAGCCAGGAUGUUGGCUUAGAAGCAGCCAUCAUUUAAAGAAAGCGUAAUAGCUCACUGGUCGAGUCGGCCUGCGCGGAAGAUGUAACGGGGCUAAACCAU